rnacentral:rRNA from 1 species
CCCUUAGAUGUUCUGGGCCGCACGCGCGCUACACUGACGGAUUCAACGAGCUUACAACCUUGGCCGAAAGGUCUGGGUAAUCUCCAAAAUCCGUCGUGAUGGGGAUAGAUUAUUGCAAUUAUUAAUCUUCAACGAGGAAUGCCUAGUAAGCGCAAGUCAUCAGCUUGCGUUGAUUACGUCCCUGCCCUUUGUACACACCGCCCGUCGCUCCUACCGAUUGAAUGGUCCGGUGAAGCGUUUGGACUAUGGUUUUCUGAUGGUCCGCCGUUGGAUUACCGUGGGAAGUUCGUUAAACCUUAUCAUUUAGAGGAAGUAAAAGUCGUAACA